CGUGCUUUAGAGCGGUUAAUUCGCCUCCAACCAGUAAUCCUCCGCAAUCGGAGGUCACCGUGCCCUGUACAUGAGAUUAAACAAUUAUUCAUAAAUCUACUUAUAUCCAAUGUAUCUUAAAGGAGAAUUUUAAAAUAGACUAGCGCAUUAUUAAUAUUAUAUGACGAUUCAACUUACCGAUGGCGAUUGUCUAAUAGGGGAGGUAGACGCUGUGGUCGCUGGGAUUUCGUGCGUCCUCAGAAGGCAAGGAACGCUCGUCUGUUCCGGUACCGAAUCUUCUACAUCCCCUAAUAACGAUAUCUUUAUGCACAGAAGAUGGAGACGGUUGCGACUGUUCAUUCGGAAUUUCGUCUUGGUCCUCGUAAACGUCACGAUGAUUCUCACCGUGCUCCCUCUCUCUCUCUUUCUCCCCCCGGUCCCGUUCUUCCGUGGCGUUGUUUAAACUUAAUUUAUGGCACACCUCGAAAGCCUGUCCUACCGUUCUGACCACCCUCAUCGCUUGACUCUAACGAAAUCCAACUUUUUCAAUUGAACGUACAAGUAAGUAUAAUAUUUAGAGGUGACGAGGGCUAAUUGUCGCAUAACAUGCAGAUAUUAAGGUGAAUUUGUGCCUGAUCAUGAAACUUCAAGUACUGAAAGAUCAAAAUUCGACGCAAGCAUGUUGGAACUUUGAAGUUUUAAGGAUAAUUUCAGUCUAGUGGAAAACAUAAUAAUUUAAAACGUCAAAAGUCUGGAAAUUCCGAAUUUUCAGAAGAUCAACAUUUAAAAUCCAAGUUCCCAAAUUUUGGAAUAAUUAAUUUUAAUUUUCCAAAAUUCAAAAUAUACAAAUUUUUGAACUUCAGAUUUGUAAAUUUCCAAAUUCCUGCAAGACUUUUGGAUCCCCAAAUCCUUAAAUUUUCAAAUUUCUGGAUUUUCUAAUUCAUAAACAAUUAAAUCUCUUGAUCUCCAAAUUAUUGGAACUAUUUAUUUUUAAAUUCCCAAAUGCUCAAAUUUUGAAUUUUUCAAACUUUUGCGUCUCCAAAUAUUUCAAUUUCGAAAAGAUUAAGAUUUUAACGUGCCCUUAAUUCCUUACUGAGGACUUUUAGGUGCUAAAAUAUUCACUCGCCACAAACUUCAAACAAUCUAAUUCUAAACUUAAACCUAAACCAUCUGAACUGUAUUCGAAAACACUUUGAUAUAUCAAUGUCCCAAUUUCUACCAAAUCUAAUCUCCACCAAACUUCAUUUCCAAAAUCAAAAAGUCCAACUAUAAACAAAAAAAAAAAAAAAAAAAUACAAAAGAAAAUGCUAUAAAAAAUUUG
rnacentral:misc_RNA from 1 species